rnacentral:rRNA from 1 species
UGAGUACGAGCGGCUACGGCCGCGAAGUGGAUGAUGUCAAGCUUCCAAGAAAAGCCCUAUACCCGUUAAGGCAUGAUGGCCUGUACCCGAAACCGACACAGGUGGGGUGGUAGAGAAUACCGAGGGGCGCGAGGUAACUCUCUCUAAGGAACUCGGCAAAAUGGCCCCGUAACUUCGGGAGAAGGGGUGCCACCGCGAGGUGGUCGCAGUGAAGAGGCCCAGGCGACUGUUUACCAAAAACACAGGUCUCCGCUAAGUCGCAAGGCGAUGUAUGGGGGCUGACGCCUGCCCAGUGCCGGAAGGUUAAGGAAGCUGGUCAGCGCAAGCGAAGCUGGCGACUGAAGCCCCGGUGAGCGGCGGCCGUAACUAUAACGGUCCUAAGGUAGCGAAAUUCCUUGUCGGGUAAGUUCCGACCCGCACGAAAGGCGUAACGAUCUGGGCGCUGUCUCGGAGAGAGGCUCGGCGAAAUAGAAUUGUCUGUGAAGAUGCGGACUACGUGCACCCGGACAGAAAGACCCUAUGAAGCUUUACUGUAGCUUGGUAUUGUGCUCGGGCUCGGAAUGCGCAGGAUAGGUGGGAGGCUUUGAUCCAUUGCUUGCGGGUGAUGGUGAGCCACUGGUGAGAUACCACUCUUUCCGAGCUAGAGUUCUAACAGCAACCCGUUAUCCGGGUGCUGGACAGUAUCAGGUGGGCAGUUUGACUGGGGCGGUCGCCUCCUAAAAGGUAACGGAGGCGCGCAAAGGUCUGCUCAGGCUGGUUGGAAAUCAGCCGACGAGUGUAAAAGCAGAAGCAGGCGUGACUGUGAGACCUACAAGUCGAACAGGGAGGAAACUCGGCUUUAGUGAUCCGACGGUUCUGCGUGGAAGGGCCGUCGCUCAACGGAUAAAAGUUACUCUAGGGAUAACAGGCUGAUCUCCCCCAAGAGUUCACAUCGACGGGGAGGUUUGGCACCUCGAUGUCGGCUCAUCGCAACCUGGGGCUGAAGUCGGUCCCAAGGGUUGGGCUGUUCGCCCAUUAAAGCGGUACGCGAGCUGGGUUCAGAACGUCGUGAGACAGUUCGGUCCAUAUCCGGUGCACGCGCAGGAAUAUUGAGAGGAUUUCUCCCUAGUACGAGAGGACCGGGAGGAACGCACCUCUGGUGUGCCAGUUAUCGUGCCAACGGUAAACGCUGGGUAGCCAUGUGCGGAGUGGAUAACCGCUGAAAGCAUCUAAGUGGGAAGCCCACCUCAAGAUGAGUAUUCCCAUGGGGUAACCCAGUAAGGUCACGGGAAGAACACCCGUUGAUAGGCUCUACGUGGAAGCGCAGUAAUGUGUGAAGCGGAGGAGUACUAAUAGACCGAGGGCUUGACC